rnacentral:rRNA from 1 species
CAGCAGCCACGGUAAUACGGAGGGUGCAAGCGUUACUCAGAACCACUGGGUGUAAAGGACGCGUAGGCGGAUUAUCAAGUCUCUCGUGAAAUCUGACGGCUUAACCGUUAAACUGCUUGGGAAACUGAUAAUCCAGAGUAAGGGAGAGGCAGAUGGAAUUCUUGGUGUAGGGGUAAAAUCCGUAGAGAUCAAGAAGAAUACCCAUUGCGAAAGCGAUCUGCUGGAACUUAACUGACGCUAAUGCGUGAAAGCGUGGGGAGCAAACAGGAUUAGAUACCCGUGUAGUCCCUGUCUCUUAUAC